UGCACGUGGCGCACGGGAAUCACGAAUUCCUUUACUUUGUCGGUUAUUGACUCAAAACGCUAUUGCUUUGAGUUGGCAACACCAUGAAACACCUUGGUGACAACGUCGUUGGACAACAUUGAAACUACACCCACUCGAGAUUCCGUGAGACUAAGUAUCUUCAACAAAACCUGACCAUUAGAAUUUACAUCUAUAAACCUAAAUGUUGACAGUUCGGUCCCAAAC